rnacentral:rRNA from 1 species
UACAGAGGUCCCAAGCGUUGUCCGGAAUUAUUGGGCGUAAAGAGCUCGUAGGCGGUUUGUUGCGUCGGCUGUGAAAUCCCGAGGCUCAACCUCGGGUCUGCAGUCGAUACGAGCAAACUAGAGUGUUGCAGGGGAGACUGGAAUUCCUGGUGUAGCAGUGAAAUGCGCAGAUAUCAGGAGGAACACCGGUGGCGAAGGCGGGUCUCUGGGCAACAACUGACGCUGAGGAGCGAAAGCGUGGGGAGCGAACAGG